UGAUCUCGCAAUCUCUUGCCU
rnacentral:piRNA from 1 species